rnacentral:misc_RNA from 1 species
AUCAUGUUCCCUUUGGUUCUUUUUCUUGAAAAGUUUUCAAAUGCCUCAGAUCUUGGAGUUGGCUGUGAGCUUGGAGCUUACUUAUAUUGCCUUUCACCCUGACUAUUGGAAAAACCAUGCAAACCCUUAGCUUGUUUCCUUUUCCUGACUCUCCUUUAUCCAGGUGUUUCACCUAUCCAGUAGCAGUGCAACCCCUUACAAUGUGUCCUUCUUUUCCACAAUUACCACAAGUCAUUUUAGUCCCUGCCCUCGAAACCCUGAAUGGAUUUCUUACUUCAUCAAGCUAUCUAAUUCUCUUCUUUCUGGGUUUUCCUACUGUUUUCCUUACAAUUGGAGGAUAUAUGUCAUUCAAUUUUGUUCUUUCCCAUUCCUCUUUACUUGGCACAGGAUAUUUGACAUGUUUGUAAACUGCCAAGCAAAUAUACUUAAGAUAAUA